rnacentral:rRNA from 1 species
UACGGAGGGUGCAAGCGUUAUCCGGAUUCACUGGGUUUAAAGGGUGCGUAGGCGGGCAGGUAAGUCAGUGGUGAAAUCUCCGGGCUUAACCCGGAAACUGCCGUUGAUACUAUCUGUCUUGAAUAUCGUGGAGGUAAGCGGAAUAUGUCAUGUAGCGGUGAAAUGCUUAGAUAUGACAUAGAACACCCAUUGCGAAGGCAGCUUACUACACGAUCAUUGACGCUGAGACGCGAAAGCGUGGGGAGCAAACAGG